rnacentral:rRNA from 1 species
GGCUCAGGACGAACGCUGGCGGCGCGCCUAACACAUGCAAGUCGAACGAGAGAUGAGGAGCUUGCUCUUCAAAUCGAGUGGCGAACGGGUGAGUAACGCGUGAGGAACCUGCCUCAAAGAGGGGGACAACAGUUGGAAACGACUGCUAAUACCGCAUAAGCCCACGGCUCGGCAUCGAGCAGAGGGAAAAGGAGCAAUCCGCUUUGAGAUGGCCUCGCGUCCGAUUAGCUAGUUGGUGAGGUAAUGGCCCACCAAGGCGACGAUCGGUAGCCGGACUGAGAGGUUGAACGGCCACAUUGGGACUGAGACACGGCCCAGACUCCUACGGGAGGCAGCAGUGGGGAAUAUUGCACAAUGGGGGAAACCCUGAUGCAGCGACGCCGCGUGGAGGAAGAAGGUCUUCGGAUUGUAAACUCCUGUUGUUGAGGAAGAUAAUGACGGUACUCAACAAGGAAGUGACGGCUAACUACGUGCCAGCAGCCGCGGUAAAACGUAGGUCACAAGCGUUGUCCGGAAUUACUGGGUGUAAAGGGAGCGCAGGCGGGAGAACAAGUUGGAAGUGAAAUCCAUGGGCUCAACCCAUGAACUGCUUUCAAAACUGUUUUUCUUGAGUAGUGCAGAGGUAGGCGGAAUUCCCGGUGUAGCGGUGGAAUGCGUAGAUAUCGGGAGGAACACCAGUGGCGAAGGCGGCCUACUGGGCACCAACUGACGCUGAGGCUCGAAAGUGUGGGUAGCAAACAGGAUUAGAUACCCUGGUAGUCCACACCGUAAACGAUGAAACUGGGUGUUGGAGGAUUGACCCCUUCAGUGCCGCAGUAACACAAUAAGU